rnacentral:sRNA from 1 species
UUCAAUGUUUACUAUACCUGCUGCUAGAAA